rnacentral:rRNA from 1 species
CCUACGGGAGGCAGCAGUGGGGAAUAUUUGGCAAUGGGCGCAAGCCUGACCCAGCAACGCCGCGUGAAGGAAGAAGGCUUUCGGGUUGUAAACUUCUUUUGACAGGGAAGAGUAGAAGACUGUGUCUGUCGAAUAAGCCACGGCUAACUACGUGCCAACAGCCGCGGUAAUACGUAGGUGGCAAGCGUUGUCCGGAUUUACUGGGUGUAAAGGGCGUGUAGCCGGGUUGACAAGUCAGAUGUGAAAGCCUGCGGCUUAACCGCGGAACUGCAUUUGAAACUGUUGAUCUUGAGUACUGGAGAGGCAGACGGAAUUCCUGGUGUAGCGGUGAAAUGCGUAGAUAUUAGGAGGAACACCAGUGGCGAAGGCGGUCUGCUGGACAGAAACUGACGGUGAGGCGCGAAAGCGUGGGGAGCAAACAGGAUUAGAUACCCGAGUAGUC